GGUAUAUGUCUUCGGAUAUAGAGACCGGCGCACGGGUGCGUAACGCGUAUGCAAUCUGCCUUUUACAGAGGGAUAGCCCAGAGAAAUUUGGAUUAAUACCUCAUAGCAUAGCAGCUUCGCAUGAAGCAGCUAUUAAAGUCACAACGGUAAAAGAUGAGCAUGCGUCCCAUUAGCUAGUUGGUAAGGUAACGGCUUACCAAGGCUACGAUGGGUAGGGGUCCUGAGAGGGAGAUCCCCCACACUGGUACUGAGACACGGACCAGACUCCUACGGGAGGCAGCAGUGAGGAAUAUUGGACAAUGGGCGCAAGCCUGAUCCAGCCAUGCCGCGUGCAGGAUGACGGUCCUAUGGAUUGUAAACUGCUUUUGUACGAGAAGAAACACUCCUACGUGUAGGAGCUUGACGGUAUCGUAAGAAUAAGGAUCGGCUAACUCCGUGCCAGCAGCCGCGGUAAUACGGAGGAUCCAAGCGUUAUCCGGAAUCAUUGGGUUUAAAGGGUCCGUAGGCGGUUUAGUAAGUCAGUGGUGAAAGCCCAUCGCUCAACGGUGGAACGGCCAUUGAUACUGCUAAACUUGAAUUAUUAGGAAGUAACUAGAAUAUGUAGUGUAGCGGUGAAAUGCUUAGAGAUUACAUGGAAUACCAAUUGCGAAGGCAGGUUACUACUAAUGGAUUGACGCUGAUGG
rnacentral:rRNA from 1 species